CUAACUGGAGGACCGAACCGACUAAUGUUGAAAAAUUAGCGGAUGACUUGUGGCUGGGGGUGAAAGGCCAAUCAAACCGGGAGAUAGCUGGUUCUCCCCGAAAGCUAUUUAGGUAGCGCCUCGUGAACUCAUCUUCGGGGGUAGAGCACUGUUUCGGCUAGGGGGUCAUCCCGACUUACCAACCCGAUGCAAACUACGAAUACCGAAGAAUGUUAUCACGGGAGACACACGGCGGGUGCUAACGUCCGUCGUGAAGAGGGAAACAACCCAGACCGCCAGCUAAGGUCCCAAAGUCAUGGUUAAGUGGGAAACGAUGUGGGAAGGCACAGACAGCCAGGAUGUUGGCUUAGAAGCAGCCAUCAUUUAAAGAAAGCGUAAUAGCUCACUGGUCGAGUCGGCCUGCGCGGAAGAUGUAACGGGGCUAAACCAUGCACCGAAGCUGCGGCAGCGACACUAUGUGUUGUUGGGUAGGGGAGCGUUCUGUAAGCCUGCGAAAGUGUGCUGUGAGGCAUGCUGGAGGUAUCAGAAGUGCGAAUGCUGACAUAAGUAACGAUAAAGCGGGUGAAAAGCCCGCUCGCCGGAAGACCAAGGGUUCCUGUCCAACGUUAAUCGGGGCAGGGUGA
rnacentral:rRNA from 1 species